rnacentral:rRNA from 1 species
UACAGAGGGUGCAAGCGUUAAUCGGAAUUACUGGGCGUAAAGCGUGCGUAGUCGGUUAUUUAAGUCGGGCGUGAAAGCCCCGGGCUCAACCUGGGAAUGGCAUUUGGGACUGCAAGGCUCGAGUGCGGCAGAGGAGACUGGAAUUCCUGGUGUAGCAGUGAAAUGCGUAGAUAUCAGGAGGAAUACCGAUGGCGAAGGCAGGUCUCUGGGCUGACACUGACGCUCAUGCACGAAAGCGUGGGGAGCAAACAGG